AAGUUAAUUUUAGAUGCAAGUAACAUCUCUUUUAUAAGCAUUUACACAUUUAGAAUAUUAUCAUUUACAAUAGAUGAUAACAAUAUAGAUAUGUAAAUUUAUUAAUAAAAUUAGGAGAUAGAUACGUAGAUAAACCAAUUAUGAAAAAAUGAAUUAGUAUCUAGAAUUAGACCCGAAGGCUAGUGAUCUUACCAUGGUCAGGGUUAUAAAAGCCCGAACGGGUUAUCGUUGUAAAGAUAUCCGAUGAACUGUGGUAAGUUAGUGAAAGACAAAACUGACUAGUAUA
rnacentral:rRNA from 1 species